UGUUUGCUGAGUUUCAUUUGCUUGCUAGUUUCUUUCGACUUGGUUUCACUUGGAGGAUGGUGGCCGGUAUGGGCCAUAGAGGGGUUUGAGGGAGAUAUUCCAAGUAGAUCCUGCAGAUUAUAUGCUGGCUAUUUGCAGAAAGGAUGCACUUAGGGAGCUUUCUUCUCCAGGGAAGAGCGGCAGCUUCUUUUACUUGACUCAAGAUGAUAGAUUCAUGAUAAAGAUUGUCAAAAAUACGGAAGUCAAGGUGCAAAUAAGGAUGCUUCCAAGUUAUUAUAGACAUGUCUCGGUAUGAAAAUAAGCUGGCUUAAUAUUAAUUCCAUUGAAACAUUGGUAGCCUUUAUUACUGUCACAUAAUAAAGGACCUGAUAGAUAUAUGUUUUAUGUGACAAUAUAUCAAAUCAUUUCAGCA